GGCUGGUCCGAUGGUAGUGGGUUAUCAGAACUUAUUCACAUUAGCGUCACUAAAGUUGGUAUUCAAACCCCCACUGCUAAAUUUGACUGGCUUAAA
rnacentral:Y_RNA from 1 species